rnacentral:rRNA from 1 species
GACGAACGCUGGCGGCGGGCUUAACACAUGCCAGUCGAACGGAAAGGCCCUGCUUUUGUGGGGUGCUCGAGUGGCGAACGGGUGAGUAAGACGUGAGUAACCUGCCCUUGACUUUGGGAUAACUUCAGGAAACUGGGGCUACUACCGGAUAGCAGCUCCCGCUGCGUGGUGGGGGUGGGAAAGUUUCGGCGGGCGGGGAUGGAUUCGCGGCUGAUCGGCUUGUUGGUGGGGGAGUGGCUUACCAAGGAUUUGACCGGUAGCCGGCCUGGGAGGGUGACCGGGCACAUUGGGACUGAGAUACGGCGCAGACGCCUACGGGAGGCAGCAGGGGGGAAUAUUGCACAAUGGGCGGAAGCCUGAUGCAGCAACGCUGCGUGCGGGAAGACGGCUUGCGGGUUGUAAACCGCUUUCGCCUGAGACGAAGCGUGAGUGACGGUAAUGGGUAAAGAAGCACCGGCUAACUACGUG